ensembl:lncRNA LINC01895 long intergenic non-protein coding RNA 1895
GGGCGGAGCUCACAUUCAACGUUUCUUGGGUCUAAAUCUUCCGGGCAGCUGUCUACACUUUGGCUCAGUCACUAUUAUUGAUGGGUGGGCACCCUGACUGGAGCAGCUACCACCCCUGGGGUCAACUGGGAAGCGUCUGGUGCUGCGAUCGAGGCACCCCCAGAAUCAUCGCACUGAGUAAAGAGAGAAACCUUUCAAAGGAAGGGAUGCUUGGCAGAGGAAAAUCAGCACUCCCAUUGUAGCGUUCAAGUAAAUAAAUUCAAGGUACCAUCUGCUGACUUCCCACAUCAGAAGCAGAAUGAUCUUCAACCCAAGACACAGGCAAAGAGAGCAUCUAACUGCUUAAAAUGAGAGCAGGAAUGGCUGUUGGCUUAGAUAGAUGGCACCCCAGAGUCCUGAAAGAACUUGCAGAUGUGAUCACAGGACCAUCUGAACCGGAGAAACCGGGGGGAAUGGAGAGACAGCAAAAGACCGGAGAUGGGAAUCUACUUACCAAGAUGGCAGGAGCAAGUGGUUAUCAGAGCCUGCUCUCUAGAAAUACAAUUAAACAAGCAGCCCCUGUCUCUUUUUCUCCACUUUCAGUCUUGGGGAAGGGAUUGGAAUAUGUGAGCAGGAGAGAAGGGUCAUGUUGGAGCAGCCAGGACUCAGAGCCUUUCCGCAGACUGAGUCUGGAUCCUUUCCUUCAGCCUCCAGGAAUACUCCCGGCUCCACACCCAGAAUGGUAAUCCAGGCAAGGGCUCUGGUGUGUGGCCACACUGCCACCUAUUACCUGCGGGUCCAAAUGCAGUGACUCAACUUCUCUGUGCCUCUCUUUCCACAUGUAUAAAAUGAGGAUAAUGUUGCUAUUGUAAGAAUUGCAUCAAUUAAUAAACAGCACUCAGUGAAUCUGUUA